rnacentral:rRNA from 1 species
CAGCCGCCGCGGUAAUACGAAGGGUGCAAGCGUUAAUCGGAAUUACUGGGCGUAAAGCGUGCGUAGGCGGUUUGUUAAGUCUGUUGUAAAAUCCCCGGGCUCAACCUGGGAAUGGCAAUGGAUACUGGCAAGCUAGAGUGUGUCAGAGGAUGGUGGAAUUCCCGGUGUAGCGGUGAAAUGCGUAGAGAUCGGGAGGAACAUCAGUGGCGAAGGCGGCCAUCUGGAACAACACUGACGCUGAGGCACGAAAGCGUGGGGAGCAAACAGGAUUAGAUACCCCCGUAGUCCCUGUCUCUUAUAC